UUGUUGGGACCUAGAAGUAUAAUUGGACGUGCAGUUGUUAUACAUAGUGGAGUGGAUGAUUUUGGUAGAUCGAACCACCCAGACUCUAAAAAAACCGGGAAUGCUGGAGGUCGAGCAGGCUGUGGAGUUAUUGGCAUUAUGUUCUGAUGAGGGUCCGGAGCGUCCGUAUUACCCAAUCCUUGAGAGCGCUUAGAAAAUUACUCCCCUCAGAUUUUAGAAAAUUUUCGUUUACUUUCCUUCUAAAAUUAGACUAAUAAGAUGAAGAAAAAAUAUAUGCACUCAACUAUAUUUACCAAACCAGAUGGAUAUCAACCGAAUUUUAUAAUAACAAAUUACAAUCAGGAAUAGUCCUAUAUGAAUUCAAAUCAACUCAAUAAAUAUGUUUUUUUCGGGCCUAUGAAAUCCAUACUGACGACAAUAUUCGACCUGCCUCCAGAGGUCAUACACAUAACACACGUUGAGCGGUCAAUAUAUAUAUGAAUGUCCGAGAAUGAAAACGCAACUUCUAUUCACAACACAUAUAAGUGAAACAAAAAUAAAAAAAUUUAUUGAAAUGAAACAACAAAAUCGAAUUUUUUCAAAGUGUAACAACAAAAAAGAUUUUUUUAAAGUGUAACAUCGGUAUGUUGUUACACUUACUACA